ensembl:lncRNA
AUGGGGGAGCAUCGGUGAGGGUGAGGAGGUGACAUCUGGUCAAUAUAUCGGGGCGGCCGCCACUGCUGCCUGGCCGGGCCGGGGCUAUCUGGAUGAAAGAUUGAUGAGCCUCUUCAGGUAGAUACAAAGCUAAGUGUCUUGUUUAUUAAUGCACUGUGAUUGGAUCCAUUAGCCGCCUUGUGCAAACUAAUCUCUGUGUAAUGCGUGUUGUCAUUUUAGCCUAACUGCUGAUAAUGUAUUCCUCCCUCAGCUCUGCAAAUGCAGUUAUUUCUUGAUAGACUCAAAGAAAUAAUGUUGUGUCAGGAGUAAG